UGUAUAGGAGAGGAUCACUUGAAAUCUCUUAUUUCAAUUCGUUAACAGUUCAUUGUAAAGAGAUAUAUGUAUGUAUGAUGCACUCUUUAAUGGCAGCAACAUUGUAUCUUUUUAAUAAGGCUACAAAGUUUAUCUUUCCACAAGUAUAGCAACAACAAUUUUCACUCCAUAAUAUAGUAGCAACGUUGUCCAAUUUAAGCUCAAUCCAAGUUCAAUCAUAGUGAUCCUUCUAUUUAGUUGAGGAUUCUAACAUCGAUUUUUCCGAAUCCAGCAAGUAGAGAUUAGUUCAUGGUGAAGUAAGGUACAUAUACUCAGUUUGGUGAUCCUUCAGCCUAAGACUUCUGCUCAGCUAUUUGGAGAGCUCCAUUGUUUCGGAGCCUGAGUCAUUUUGGUACAGAUCCUCUGAUAUAGAUUUAUGCAUAUCCAGGGGUAUCCCGCCAUUUUUCACUAUUAUACUUUUAGAGGUUUGUAGACAUGUGUGGGUUGUAUAUAAUUUGGUCAGUUAUAUCGAUAUUGCUCAUUUUGGAUAUCCCUGUAUAUAAUGGCAGCCUUGUCGGCUUGCAUAUUUUGUUAUGUUUUGGUUAGCUAUGACUCCUUAGGAGACAGGUUCAUUAUGAUAUAUGACAUUAUGAGUCUA